CGGGGAGGAGUCUGGCCUCUUCAGCUCCUGUGUGGUGGCCUGAUAUUCAGUCUGUGAGCUGGGAGCCUGUUGGCAGGUCCCUCUUUUUAUUUUCGCUGAGAGCUUUCUUUUACUAAAUGCCACCAUCCUUACCUUUCAAGGUGUCUGCGUGCCUAAUUUUUCCUGGUUGUUAGACAAGAACCCGGAUUUUAGUUGAACUCUGGAGCAAAAAUCCUGCAUCAUUUGUAGGUCAACAACAAGAGGCCAGGACCUCCCAAGAAAAGCUUUACUAAUGUGGGUGUCAUUGUGACUGGCUGCUACCUCCCCAUGAGUCUUCUAAAAUAAAACCUGCAAAUUCACAUCUUCCCCAUGCUUCCAGAGAAUGCAUAUUCUUCCUUUGAAAAAAGAAAACCAGCACUGUUCAUAAUAGCCAAGAUUUGGAAGCCACCUAAGUGUCCAUCAACAGAUGAAUGGAGAAACUGUGGUACAUAUACACAACGGAGUGCUAUUCAGCCAUAAAAAAGAAUGAUACUCUGUCAUCUGCAACAACAUGAAUGGAACUGGAGAUCAUUAUGUUGUUAAAUAAGCCAGACACAGAAAGACAAACAUCACAUAUUUUCACUUAUUUUGGGGAUAUAAAAGUCAAAACAAACUCAUGGAGAUAGAGAACAGAUAGACGGUUACCAGAGGCUAGGAGGAGGAGUGGUGGGGGGCAGUUAGUGAUGGUUAAUUGGUACAAAAAAAUGGUUAGAAAUAAUAAAUAAGACCUAGUAUUAGAUAGGACAACAGGAGGACUAUAGUCAAAAAUAAUUUAUUUGUACAUUUCAAAGUAACUAAAAGAGUGUAAUUGUAUUAUUUGUAGCACAUAGGAUAAAUGCUUGAGGUGACGGAUACCCCAUUUACCCUGAUGUGAUUAUUACACAUCGUAUGCCUGUACCAAAAGAUCUCAUGUACCUCAUAAAUACAUACACCUACUAUAUACCCACACAAAUUAAAAAUUAAAAAAAUUUAAAGAAAUUACAGUUUGUUGGUUUUGAAUAUUUGACCAAAUUUUUUACUAAGCACAGAUAGAUUGAAUAUAAUUUUAUUGUCCUUUUGACAUUAUGAUAAUGAAGGUAUCUACACAGAAGUCUGAGAUGAGAAAAAAAUGAUAUAAUAUCCACCUACUACAUAGUGGGUAGUUUAUAUACUAAAGUUAUUGUUAUGAGAAAGAAUGGCUUAGGAAUAUUAUUUAAAAUUAAUUAAGGGGUGUUAAAAAUAAAAUACCAAGUGUAAAAAUGACAAAGGCAAGAAGAAACAGUAUAUAAUGUGAGUAAAUCUUAAUCUUUCCAAGAGAGGAGACAGUACAUAAUGUCUAAAAUUGUUAAACCAUGAAAUAGAAAUAUAGUUAUUUUAUUCAUAAUUAAGGAGAUAACUACUAUAGCACGAAAUCGUGCCAAAAAUGGUUGCCUCUGGGAAAUGUGAUUAUAGAUAUUAUAAUAUUUUGGACUGUAAAAAUCUGCUUUUAAGACUGAGGAAAUACAAAUAGGACAAUAUUUAUUUGAAAUUUGUAUCCUCAGGGAGUGUAAAGAAAUUAAUGUAUCCACAAAAUAAUAAUAGCUGCUAUUUGAAAACAUAGUUUUCUUGAAAGUUAAAAUAGUAAUAGUCUUCUAAAAAUUUUGUUAGUUUUGGUUUUCUCUUUAAUCUGAGUUAUGUAGAAAAGUGCUUAUUUCAAAUUAGGUAGGCUUGUUUUAUUCCUUUUUCUGUCUUUUUUCUAUCAACUAGUGUUUUAUUGUGUUCAGAAAAUGCCAUGCAUUAAAAGACUACUUUUGAGAAUUUCUAGAGAUUUUCUUUGUUACUAAAGAGAUUUUUGUAAUUGUUACAUGGGAUUUUAAAAAGAAUGUAAAUUAUCCUUUUUGUCAAGUAUAAUGAUUUCUGAAACCUAGCUGUGUCAGAAUACUGUAUAAUACUGUAAUAGUAUGUUGUUUUUGGCUAUGUGUACUUAUUUCUUAGAGUGGUAUGUUAAAGCCUCGACCUUGUGACUUUGUUUAUUUCUCUCUCUACAUCUAAACAUUUCCAAGACAUGUUAUUUGCAAUACCAAGACCAUAACUAUUAUGUAUUUAAUCAAAAUAAAAUAUUUCGGCUCUCUAUAAUUCACCUUGAACUUUAUUUUGUUAAAUAUAAAUGUUGUUGAUUAUACAACAUUUCAUUAUCAAUCCCUAGACACAUUUCUAAUCCACUAUAAUUGUUUUAAAAUAAAAGGAGAAGGGAAGGUUGUA
rnacentral:lncRNA from 1 species